AGCCAUGCAUUAAGCACAUAGCGAACUAUUCUUUCGCCUUUUACUAAAGAAUACCGUGUGUGUGAUGCAAAUAGUGGCAUACGCUAAUUUUUAGAGGGGUUCUCUUUGUUGAGAUCC